CCUGAUUGGCCCGCGGCCUAUCAGCUAGUUGGUGAGGUAACGGCUCACCAAGGCUACGACGGGUAGCUGGUCUUAGAGGACGACCAGCCACACUGGAACUGAGACACGGUCCAGACACCUACGGGUGGCAGCAGUCGAGAAUCUUUCACAAUGGGGGCAACCCUGAUGGAGCGACGCCGCGUGGAGGAUUAAGGUCUUCGGAUUGUAAACUCCUGUCAUGUGAGAGCAAGGCUUUGCGUUAACUGCGCAAAGUUUGAUAGUAUCACAAGAGGAAGAGACGGCUAACUCUGUGCCAGCAGCCGCGGUAAUACAGAGGUCUCAAGCGUUGUUCGGAAUCACUGGGCGUAAAGGGUGCGUAGGCGGCAUGGAAAGUCAGAUGUGAAAUCCGAGAGCUCAACUUUCGAAUUGCAUCCGAUACUCCCGUGCUAGAGAACUGAAGGGGAGCUUGGAAUUCUCGGUGUAGCAGUGAAAUGCGUAGAUAUCGAGAGGAACACUAGUGGCGAAGGCGAAGCUCUGGGCAGUAUCUGACGCUGAGGCACGAAGGCCAGGGGAGCGAACGGGAUAGAUACCCCGGUAGUCCUGGCAGUAAACGGUGCGCGUUUGGUGUGGAGGGGUUCGACCCCCUCUGUGCCGUAGUUAACACGUUAAACGCGCCGCCUGGGAAGUACGGUCGCAAGAUUAAAACUCAAAGAAAUUGACGGGGACCCGCACAAGCGGUGGAGUAUGUGGCUUAAUUCGAUGCAACGCGAAGAACCUUACCUGGACUCGACAUGCACUGUGUCUUGAAUGAAAGUUCAAUAGUGUAGCAAUACACGCUUUGCACAGGUGCUGCAUGGCUGUCGUCAGCUCGUGUCGUGAGAUGUUGGGUUAAGUCCCGCAACGAGCGCAACCCUUGUAGUUUGUUGCCAGCAGAGAAAUCUGCGCACUCAAACUAGACUGCCCAGAUCAACUGGGAGGAAGGUGAGGAUGACGUCAAGUCCGUAUGGCCCUUACGUCCAGGGCUGCACACGUACUACAAUGCCCAGCACAAUGUGACCCGAUGCCGUGAGGUGGAGGAAAUCAACAAAGCUGGGCUCAGUUCAGAUUGAAGGCUGCAACUCGCCUUCAUGAAGUUGGAAUCGCUAGUAAUGGCACAUCAGCUACGGUGCCGUGAAUACGUUCCCGGGUCUUGUACACACCGCCCGUCACAUCAUGGAAGCUGGUUUCGCCCGAAACGCCCAAGCCAACCGAAAGGAAGCAAGGUUCUAAGGCAAGACUGGUAACUGGGAUGAAGUCGAACAAGGUA
rnacentral:rRNA from 1 species